UACAGAGGUCUCAAGCGUUGUUCGGAUUCAUUGGGCGUAAAGGGUGUGUAGGUGGCGCCGUAAGUCGGGUGUGAAAUUUCGGAGCUUAACUCCGAAACUGCAUUCGAUACUGCGGUGCUUGAGGACUGGAGAGGAGACUGGAAUUCAUGGUGUAGCAGUGAAAUGCGUAGAGAUCAUGAGGAAGACCAGUGGCGAAGGCGGGUCUCUGGACAGUUCCUGACGCUGAGGCGCGAAAGCUAGGGUAGCAAACGGG
rnacentral:rRNA from 1 species